AUUUGAUUCAAUAUAAAUAAUUUACAGCUUGAAAAAUUUAUGGGACCAUCGAUAGCGAGUGUUGUACACAGCCGAUAUCCUGGCUGAUCGGGAGGCAGUCAAAAUUGAUGCUGUUAGCAAAUGGUCUAAAGGCGUCCAUCUUUGGGGUCCCGCCAGCAGGAGCAACCUCAGCAUGAUUCAGCUUUUUCGAAUUUUAUCUGCCAGCUAAAUAUUGCUUGGUUAAAGGAGUUUGAAAUAUAUGAUGAAACAUUAAGCUCCAUGCCAUCAAAUUUAUCGAAAGAACUAGACUCGCCACUAGAAGUUGAUUAUCGAGGACGAAUAUUCUUAAACAAGAGUUUGUAUAUUAAGGUACACUUUGUGAACAACUAAUAUUAAAAAAAACAAGAAAGAAAGGCUAUCUUAGGC